CCUACGGGAGGCAGCAGUAGGGAAUCUUCCGCAAUGGACGAAAGUCUGACGGAGCAACGCCGCGUGAGCGAUGAAGGCCUUCGGGUCGUAAAGCUCUGUUGUUAGGGAAGAACAAGUAUCGGUUAACUACCGGUACCUUGACGGUACCUAACCAGAAAGCCACGGCUAACUACGUGCCAGCAGCCGCGGUAAUACGUAGGUGGCAAGCGUUGUCCGGAUUUAUUGGGCGUAAAGCGCGCGCAGGCGGUUCUUUAAGUCUGAUGUGAAAUCUCGCGGCUCAACCGCGAGCGGUCAUUGGAAACUGGGGAACUUGAGUGCAGAAGAGGAGAGUGGAAUUCCACGUGUAGCGGUGAAAUGCGUAGAGAUGUGGAGGAACACCAGUGGCGAAGGCGACUCUCUGGUCUGUAACUGACGCUGAGGCGCGAAAGCGUGGGGAGCGAACAGGAUUAGAUACCCUGGUAGUCCACGCCGUAAACGAUGAGUGCUAAGUGUUAGAGGGUUUCCGCCCUUUAGUGCUGCAGCUAACGCAUUAAGCACUCCGCCUGGGGAGUACGGCCGCAAGGCUGAAACUCAAAGGAAUUGACGG
rnacentral:rRNA from 1 species